rnacentral:hammerhead_ribozyme from 1 species
AUCCAUCUGACGAGUCACAAAUGGGACGAAACAUGCGUCCGGGAU